rnacentral:rRNA from 1 species
CCUACGGGAGGCUGCAGUGGGGAAUAUUGGACAAUGGACGAAAGCCUGAUCCAGCCAUGCCGCGUGUGUGAAGAAGGCCUUCGGGUUGUAAAGCACUUUCAGUGGGGAAGAAAGCCUUGGGGCUAAUACCCUCGAGGAAGGACAUCACCCACAGAAGAAGCACCGGCUAACUCCGUGCCAGCAGCCGCGGUAAUACGGAGGGUGCGAGCGUUAAUCGGAAUUACUGGGCGUAAAGCGCGCGUAGGCGGUCUGAUAAGCCGGUUGUGAAAGCCCCGGGCUCAACCUGGGAACGGCAUCCGGAACUGUCAGGCUAGAGUGCAGGAGAGGAAGGUAGAAUUCCCGGUGUAGCGGUGAAAUGCGUAGAGAUCGGGAGGAAUACCAGUGGCGAAGGCGGCCUUCUGGACUGACACUGACGCUGAGGUGCGAAAGCGUGGGUAGCAAACAGGAUUAGAUACCCCAGUAGUC